rnacentral:lncRNA from 12 species
CCCCAUUGCACCCCGCUCCCAGGAGCUGCAGAGUCGUGGUUUCACCUUGAUUUUGGGGACAUUUUCCACAUCCCUGGCACGUCCUGCAGCAGGUGCAGCCCUUCCCUCCUCUCUCAGCGCUGUCCCCAGGUGUGACAAUCCAGAGGGUGAAAGCAAGGAGUGCAAUUCCCAGGAUCCUGGGAGUCUGUUCAGGGGGCAGGAGCUUUCCAGCAGCUCUGUGCAGUGCUGGCUGGAUCACACCAAAACCAAACCCUGGUAUUAGAGACAGCUUUGCUUAUAAACACCCAGGUUUUUCUCUCUGCCUCUCCAGAGCUGGCAGGGAGCAGGGAUCUCUGCUUGGCCAGCACCUGCCUGUCCUGCUGCUGGAGCUUCUCCCCACCUCAGCUCAUCCUUGCAGCCCCCAAAUCCCAGCUGUGGGCUGUGGGCUGGGGAUCCCAGCAGGGUUUGGGGUCCUUCAGCUCUCCUCUGCCUGCUGUGCUCGGUGCUGGCCGAGCUUUUCAUCCCCUGUUCCUCCUGCUCACCUGGCGGGUCCCUGCUGGGCACCCACUCCUGCAGGUUCAACCCCACUCUUGCAGGUUUAACCCACUCCUGGCAGGAUUAACCCACUCCUGGCAGGUUUAACCCACUCCUGGCCGGGUUUAACCCGCCCCUGGCAGGAUUAACCCCAACCUGACAGGUUUAACCCCAGCCUGGCAGGUUUAACCCACUCCUGACAGGUUUAACCCACUCCUGGCUGGGUUCAACCCACUCCUGGCCGGAUUUAACCCACUCCUGCAGGUUCAACCCCACUCUUGCAGGUUUAACCCACUCCUGGCAGGAUUAACCCACUCCUGGCAGGUUUAACCCACUCCUGGCCGGGUUUAACCCGCCCCUGGCAGGAUUAACCCCAACCUGACAGGUUUAACCCCAGCCUGGCAGGUUUAACCCACUCCUGACAGGUUUAACCCACUCCUGGCUGGGUUCAACCCACUCCUGGCAGGUUUAACCCCACUCUUGCAGGUUUAACCCACUCCUGGCAGGAUUAACCCACUCCUGGCAGGUUUAACCCACUCCUGGCCGGGUUUAACCCACUUCUGGCAGGUUUAACCCACUCCUGACAGGUUUAAUCCCAACCUGACAGGAUUCACCCAAACCUGGCCGGGUUUAACCCACUCCUGGCCGGGUUUAACCCACUCCUGGCAGGUUUAACCCCAGCCUGGCCGGGAAAUGCUGCCCCAGCUCUUCCUCGGGCUCCCGGGAGAGGGCACCGUGCUCCGGAGAAGCGGGAGGAGCCGGGGCUUGAGGGGAGCCUGGGGAUGGGCUGGGGGACCGGGGCUUUGGCUGCAGGGGAAGUUUAGGAUUUCAGGAUGGAAGCUGCAGCCUGAAGGAGCCGCUGCUGACCUUGCUCCCUCCUGCAGCCGCCCUGGGCUGUCCCUGCUGCUGUGACAGCACGGGGGGCUCAGUUUGAGGAGUUCCAGGCGGGUUUUCAGCAGCCCCUGCACGGCUGGAGAGGGGGAACCUCCCUCCCUUUGUGUCCCUGGGGAGUCUCUUCCCUGCCUAAUUGGGAUUAUUUGUGGGUCUCGUUUUCU